CCUGCCACCCCCACACGAAUGAUGGCUUUGGAUUCAGUUUUUAAGGACUUUACCGAGUUGGGAAUUAGCUGCAACCUCCAACAUGCCGUCCAAGCCUGCCCCAAUCAAGAAGGCGGCUAAGAAAGAACCAGCCAAGAAGGAGGAGAAGGCUCCAGAACCUGCUCCAGAACCUGCACCAGAGCCCGCUCCGGAACCCGUCCCAGAGGCCGCCCCGGCAGAAGUCCCCCCAGCACCCGCGGAGGGCGAAGCUGCACCUGCUGAGGGUGCCCCUGCUGAGGGAGAGGCCCCUGCUGCCCCGCCAGCUGAGGAGCCCAAAGCUCCAACCCCUCCACCACCAGAUGCUGAAGCUGCUGAAGCGCCUGCACCAGAGGAGCCUAAACCACCCACACCUCCACCACCUCCACCCAAAGAGCCCACGAGCGCCCCGCUGGAUCUUUUUGUUGAAGACAAGAAUGACACUUCAGUUACUAUCAUCUGGAGCCAGCCAGAGGUUGUGGGACCGUCCGGUCUGGAUGGAUACACCAUUGAAGUGUGCAAGGACGGAACUGAGGACUGGAAAGCAGUCAAUGAAGAACUGCAGAAGUCCUGCCGCUACGUCAUCAAGAACCAGACCACGGGUGACCGUCUGAAGAUCCGUGUGGUGGCUGUGAAUGCAGGCGGCCGCAGCCCCCCCGUCGCCCUGCCCGAGGCUGUCCUGGUUAAGGAGGUUGCUGAUCGCCCCAAGGUCCGCUUGCCUCGUUUCCUCAGGCAGAGAUACGUCGCUCACGUUGGAGAUAAGAUCAACCUGACCAUCCCCUUCACAGGUAAACCCAAACCUGUGGUCUCCUGGGUAAAGAAUGGGCAGCCUCUGGACACAAAGAGGGUGAACAUCCGCAGCACCGAUAGAGACAGCAUCCUGUUUAUCCGUGCAGCUGAGAGAGAAGACUCUGGGGUGUAUGAGAUGUGUGUGAAGGUGGAUGACUUCGAGGACAAGGCUUCACUCACCCUUCAAAUCGUUGAGCUGCCAGGGCCUCCCGCCAGUGUAAAGAUUGUAGAUACCUGGGGCUUCAACGUUGCUCUGGAGUGGACUCCUCCCACUGACAAUGGAAACACAGACAUCACAGGUUACACAAUCCAGAAGGCUGACAAAAAGACUGGAGACUGGUUCACUGUGUUGGAGCAUUACCAUAGACUGAAUGCCACCAUCUCUGACCUCAUCAUGGGUAACACCUACAAGUUCAGAGUGUUUUCUGAAAACAAGUGUGGAAUGAGCACAGAUGCUACUGUUGCGAAGGAGGAGGCCAAGAUCCUGAAGACAGGUAUUGACUACCAGCCUCCUGAAUACAAGGAACAUGACUUCAGCGAGCCGCCCAAGUUCACCACCUCUCUGAAUGACAGAUCCACCACCGUUGGCUACAGCACCAAGCUGCUGUGCUCUGUCAGGGGAUUCCCAAAACCCCGGGUUCAGUGGUUGAAGAACCAGAUGAUUAUUGGAGAUGACCCCAAGUACAGGCAGAUCUGCGUUCAGGGUAUCUGCUCUCUGGAGAUCCGUAGGCCUGGUAACUUUGACGGAGGUGUGUACUCCUGCAAAGCCAUGAAUGAUCACGGAGAAGCAACUGUCAGCUGCAAGCUGGAGGUCAAACAGCCGACGGCUGCAGAUGCAGAAAAGAAAUAGGUCAACAUUCACAUUCUCACAGGAGCGGAAGGAAUGAGGCCUUUGCAGCAUAAGGAAGAUGCUGAGUUCCUGGAAGAAUAUGUACAUAUGGAUGGUGACCACACUGCCAAAGGGAAGUUGCCUAUGGCCUCUUGCAGAGUGUUACAGUGUGUUAUGAUGAACAAUUGGUGUCUCAUGAUGUCUUUAUUGUCCAUUACAUUAUAUUAAGUCCAUAUCCAUGCCCACAAUCAGCUUUUUCCCCUGCGAUAAUGACUAUGGUACAUAAAUUAUCAUUUCCAACACUGUUCCUUCUGAGUUUAUCAUCUUGUCAGUCUAACUAGGUGUACACCAAGAACUUUACAGCAUGAACUGGCUGUUCCUCAUAGGAGAAAUACAUUUAACAUCUACAUGUUUAUAUCAAUAAAUAAUUUAAUUUCUG